AGUUAACGUUGGCGGCGUGCCUAACACAUGCAAGUCGAACGCGUCCUAAGGGCAACUUUAGGAUGAGUGGCGAACGGGUGAGUAUCACGUGGGUAAUCUUCCUUUAAGUGGGGAAUAAGCUCUCGAAAGGGAGUCUAAUACCGCAUGACAUUCCGGGACACAAGUCCCGUAAUCAAAGCCGCAAGGCGCUUGAAGAUGAGCCUGCGUCCUAUUAGCUAGUUGGUGGGGUAACGGCCUACCAAGGCUCAGAUGGGUAGCCGGCCUGAGAGGGUGAACGGCCACACUGGGACUGAGACACGGCCCAGACUCCUACGGGAGGCAGCAGUGAGGAAUUUUGCGCAAUGGGGGAAACCCUGACGCAGCGACGCCGCGUGGAGGAU
rnacentral:rRNA from 1 species